rnacentral:lncRNA from 1 species
CUAAAUAAAGCUACUUUUGAGAACACUAAAGUUAUUUUGAGCUCCUCAAUUGAUCUCUCCAAUAGCUUGACUUCUUCAUCCUUCUCCUUUCAUCUGCUAUUUGUAAGAGUACAAAAGAAGGGUUCUAAAAGAAGAAAAACGGAAGCAUUAUUAAGAGCAGAAAACAUUAAUCCAAUAGCAUGAACACCUGGCUGGCGUCCGUAGCAAUUACUUCCCUUUGUUUUGCCACUGGCAAAGCAUCUCCAGCUUUUCUCUCAGAGAGGCACCUGGGAGUCACAUUAUUGCUUCUCUUCUGAGAGCUUGGAGAAGUUAUUCUGCAAAUUUUGAAGCAAAUCGUUCCUUUCAUCGUCAAGUAAAUUUCUCAGCUCAAUCAACACUUCCUCCAAUAUUGGAGUGGCAUUUCUAUUAUGGGCUAACUCGUAUUUCACAGAGCAAUCAAUCCGUUCAAUAUGGCUGAGCUGAGGUCGCAAAUCAGUGUUCACUAUAGAAACUGCAUUUGGUUUGCAAACUACACUUGCUGGCUGCUCCUCCAACACCAAAAUCUUUUUUUACUCUUCAUAAUUUAAGAAUGUGCAUGAUUAAUCAAUUUAAACUCACUGGAUUGGAUGGAUGGAGUGUCUAAAUAGUAGGAUUAAACAAUUGGUCCUUUACUGACUGAUUAAUUAGUGACCUAAACAUUUUUCUGAAUCUUUGCUUUAAUGGAUGUGCAUGAUUAAUCAGUUAACACUACAGUGGGGGAGGACAUCCUGAUGGAGCGGCGCAACCUACUUGACCAGCAAGCCCCACGCCUUCAAAUUAUUUUAGGAGAUCUAACAACAUUAAAUAAGAAGCAUCAUCUCAUUAAAGUCCUCUUUAUUUAUUUUAUCGGAGGCUCGGAAGAACUUAGUCUCUUCAAAAUAAGAAGCAUCAUCCAUGGUCGAUUUCUGGACCAAAAUAACUACAUGCAUAAACGGACUCUCAUGCCAAGUUGCAAACAGAUCAGGGAAAACACCCACAAACUUGAAUAAAACGUUGUGAUUUUUCAGCAAAAGUAAUGUUAUGUGAUCGAAAUGAAACAACUGUUGUUCAGAUAUAUCAGUUUCGAUUGAAUCUACUAUGGCAUUGACAGAAGCAGUAGACAUCCAGCCAUAAACAUAUCACUGGCCAUAGGUUUUAUUUUUAUUUUUUGGCAUGCACUGGCUAUAGGUAGAUAACAUAAGAGCUAGGAUCCAACAGUUAGGCAGAACAAGUAAGACACCAAGUCGCAUAAUCAAAAUAUGCCCAUUUGCACACAUGUAAAUAGUUUGAACGUACUGAAACACAAAGAAAGUAGAUAGUAGAUUAUAUUGUCCUAAGUUGAUCUUGCUUGAUAGCAUUAUCUAGAGAAUAUCAAAAGGAAAAACAUAACUAACCUUGACCUGUUUGUAGCGAUCCAGAUUUUACACACUCUGGUCGUUUCAUCUGAAAUCACAUGAAAAAGUGUUGCUUUUCUUUGGCCGCUGAAAGGGAAAGUACCAAUCUCCACUUCGAUCCUCCCUCUGUAAUAUUAUAAGAAAAGCAGUCAACAGAGCAUCGCCCUCCCACCAUGCCUGUUCUGAUAGACACACAAAAGAAUACACAAAGCAUCUUCCAUCAGUUUUUAUAACUUGCUAGAAAUACAUGCAAACAUCAUCCAACAAAUGAACGGCUUGUGCAAUUUGUUUGCAAGCAAAUAGAACGAAUUAUUGCAAACCUGAACAUAAUUCUAUUGUCUAUGCAUCUUUUCUCUCAGCUCUACAAAAAAAUUCGUCUAGCAAUUUCUAAAAAGAAUUUGAAUGAAGCUACUGUACGUUUGUAGACAGCCACACAACAAAUUGAAGGUCACGGGAGCAACAAAGCAUCAGGGAUCCUCCUGCGGUACACACGGUCCUCAACGAUAGAGUUGCCUGGUUAGUGGGCUGCCGACAGAGCAUCGACCAGAGCGUGAAUAAUCAACGGAGUUUGUAAUCGUAGCCCUACACACGAAAUUCCAUGAGCAUGGAUAAACUGAUCUUGUGAUUUGGUAGAAGCAGCAAAUUAUAGUACCGGCUGAAUGAACAGCUUGUGCCAUUUAUAGAUAAACUGAAACCCUCACGUAGUCAGCCAGUACUAUAAUAUGGUAGUAGCAACAGGCAGCUCAC